rnacentral:rRNA from 1 species
AUUGAACGCUGGCGGCAGGCCUAACACAUGCAAGUCGAGCGAGCGGCGGACGGGUGAGGAAGGGAUGGGGACUGCGAGACAGAGGGGGAAAAGGACUGGAAAAGUUGGCUAAUAGCGCAUAAUACCGGAUAAGCCAUAUUGGAUUAGCUAGUAGGUGGGGUAAAGGCUCACCUAGGCGACGAUCCCUAGCUGGUCAGAGAGGCUGAUCAGCCACACUGGUACUGAUACACGGCCCAGACUCCUACGGAGGCAGCAGUGGGGAAUAUUCCACAAUGGGCGAAAGCCUGAUGCAGCCAUGCCGCGUGUAUGAAGAAGGCCUUAGGGUUGUAAAGUACUUUCAGUGGGGAGGCGUUACCCGCAGAGGAAGCACCGGCUAACUCCGUGCCAGCAGCCGCGGUAAUUC